GAUGAACGCUGGCGGCGUGCCUAAUACAUGCAAGUCGAGCGAAUGGAUUAAGAGCUUGCUCUUAUGAAGUUAGCGGCGGACGGGUGAGUAACACGUGGGUAACCUGCCCAUAAGACUGGGAUAACUCCGGGAAACCGGGGCUAAUACCGGAUAACAUUUUGAACCGCAUGGUUCGAAAUUGAAAGGCGGCUUCGGCUGUCACUUCUUGAUGGACCCGCGUCGCAUUAGCUAGUUGGUGAGGUAACGGCUCACCAAGGCAACGAUGCGUAGCCGACCUGAGAGGGUGAUCGGCCACACUGGGACUGAGACACGGCCCAGACUCCUACGGGAGGCAGCAGUAGGGAAUCUUCCGCAAUGGACGAAAGUCUGACGGAGCAACGCCGUGUGAGUGAUGAAGGCUUUCGGGUCGUAAAACUCUGUUGUUAGGGAAGAACAAGUGCUAGUUGAAUAAGCUGGCACCUUGACGGUACCUAACCAGAAAGCCACGGCUAACUACGUGCCAGCAGCCGCGGUAA
rnacentral:rRNA from 1 species